GCUUGUCUCAAAGAUUAAGCCAUGCAUGUCUAAGUAUAAAUCUUUUACUUUGAAACUGCGAACGGCUCAUUAUAUCAGUUAUAGUUUAUUUGAUAGUCCCUUACUACUUGGAUAACCGUAGUAAUUCUAGAGCUAAUACAUGCGUCAAUACCCUUCUGGGGUAGUAUUUAUUAGAUUGAAACCAACCGCUUCGGCGUGAUGUGGUGAUUCAUAAUAAAUUUGCGAAUCGCAUGGCUUUACGCCGGCAAUGUAGCAUCUAAGUUUCUGACCUAUCAGCUUCCGACGGUAAGGUAUUGGCUUACCGUGGCAAUGACGGGUAACGGAGAAUUAGGGUUUGAUUCCGGAGAGGGAGCCUGAGAAACGGCUACCACAUCCAAGGAAGGCAGCAGG
rnacentral:rRNA from 1 species